UACCAGCUCUCCGAGUGGUAGGGAUGUUUAUUGGGCUUAAAGCGUCCGUAGCCGGCUUAGCAAGUCUCCUGUUAAAUUCAGCGACCUAAUCGUUGAGCUGCGGGAGAUACUACUAGGCUAGGAGGCGGGAGAGGUCAACGGUACUUCCGGGGUAGGGGUGAAAUCCUAUAAUCCCAGGAGGACUACCAGUGGCGAAGGCUGUUGACUAGAACGCGCUCGACGGUGAGGGACGAAAGCUGGGGGAGCGAACCGGAUUAGAUACCCGGGUAGUCCCAGCUGUAAACGAUGCGGGCUAGGUGUUGGGGUGGCUACGUGCCACUUCAGUGCCGCAGGGAAGCCAUUAAGCCCGCCGCCUGGGGAGUACGGCCGCAAGGCUGAAACUUAAAGGAAUUGGCGGGGAGCACCACAAGGCGUGAAGCUUGCGGUUC
rnacentral:rRNA from 1 species